GAUGAACGCUGGCGGCGUGCCUAAUACAUGCAAGUCGAGCGAACGGACGAGAAGCUUGCUUCUCUGAUGUUAGCGGCGGACGGGUGAGUAACACGUGGAUAACCUACCUGUAAGACUGGGAUAACUUCGGGAAACCGGAGCUAAUACCGGAUAAUAUUUUGAACCGCAUGGUUCAAAGGUGAGAGACGGUCUUGCUGUCACUUAUAGAUGGAUCCGCGCUGCAUUAGCUAGUUGGUAAGGUAACGGCUUACCAAGGCAACGAUGCAUAGCCGACCUGAGAGGGUGAUCGGCCACACUGGAACUGAGACACGGUCCAGACUCCUACGGGAGGCAGCAGUAGGGAAUCUUCCGCAAUGGGCGAAAGCCUGACGGAGCAACGCCGCGUGAGUGAUGAAGGUCUUCGGAUCGUAAAACUCUGUUAUUAGGGAAGAACAUAUGUGUAAGUAACUGUGCACAUCUUGACGGUACCUAAUCAGAAAGCCACGGCUAACUACGUG
rnacentral:rRNA from 1 species